rnacentral:rRNA from 1 species
GUGGGGAAUAUUGGGCAAUGGGGGCAACCCUGACCCAGCGACGCCGCGUGAGGGAAGAAGGCCUUAGGGUCGUAAACCUCUGUUGUGUGGGAAGAAGAGCGUGACGGUACCACACGAGGAAGUCCCGGCUAACUACGUGCCAGCAGCCGCGGUAAUACGUAGGGGACGAGCGUUGUCCGGAUUUACUGGGCGUAAAGGGCGCGUAGGCGGUCAUUUAAGUCAGCUGUGAAAUGGUUUGGCUUAACCGGAUCAUGCGGUUGAAACUGGAUGACUGGAGUGCUGGAGAGGCAAGUGGAAUUCCCAGUGUAGCGGUGAAAUGCGUAGAUAUUGGGAAGAACACCGGUGGCGAAGGCGACUUGCUGGCCAGCAACUGACGCUGAGGCGCGAAAGCCAGGGGAGCAAACGGGAUUAGAAACCCCUGUAGUCC